CUGCUUCUCACCCUCAUCGCUGUGGGCAAGGCUGGACUGAAACUCACCGCUGCCAGCAUCAGCAGAGACUAUCCAACCACCUAUCACCAGCCAAGGGAAGGAUGAGAAUUCAAAGUGAGAAGCACAACUUCUCCCCCAGUGCAUGAAUCUUCCCAACCAGAUGAACACAGUGGCUUUUCUGAUCGGACUAAGUUUUUGCUGUCCAUGAGUCUCCACAUGGCAAUUAAAGCAAACUUUUAAAACAGAAUGGCUCCCGACAAAGAGGGAUCCCCAGGACACGGUGCCAGUCGGAGACUGCAGGUCUAGAAGCUCCCUGGAGAGUUGCUGGGCCACCACCUGUGCUGCUGUUCUGCCCCGCUCCUGCCCCCAGAAUGAGUCCCACUAGGAGGAGGGCAAUUUAAAGAUCAUGCUGUGGUGGCUGCAGUCUGAGGGGGCCCAGGGAGUUGGAGUCUGCCGGAGCUCGAGCAUGGCUUCCUCUUCAUGGACAGCUCGGUGGGGUUAUGCACGAUGCCAGCACUGAGGCGCCACUUCCUGGAUUUUCCUUCUGCGGGCCUGACCCAGUCAGCUGAUGGUUUCAUUCCCUCCUCAGCCCCUGGCUUUCCGGGGGUCACCCACAGAAUCUCACUCUGUUGGAAUCACCUUGCCCUGGGGACUGACUAGGCAACAA